UCAAGGAAAGAAGGGCUGAUGGUGGAUACCUAGGCACACGAAGGCGAGGAAGGACGUAGCAACCUACGAAAAGUCUCGGGGAGUCGGAAGCAGACUAUGAGCCGAGAGUGUCCGAAUGGGGCAACCCUAAAAACAUAUCCUUUAGGAUAAUGAGCGAACCUGGUGAACUGAAACAUCUUAGUAGCCAGAGGAAGAGAAAACAAAAGUGAUUCCCCUAGUAGCGGCGAGCGAACAGGGACCAAGCCUAAACCGGCGUUUACGAAUACCGGGGUAGUGGGACAUCAAGAUCGAGACUGGAGGUUAAACGAACUAGCUGAAAACUAGACCGUAGAAGGUGAAAGUCCUGUAGUUGAAAACGGAAAGAAUUGUAGAUGAAUCCCGAGUAGCACGAGAUAAGUGGAAUCUAGUGUGAAUCAGCCACGACCACGUGGUAAGGCUAAAUACAAAGUGUGACCGAUAGAGAAAAGUACCGCGAGGGAAAGGUGAAAAGAACCCCGGGAGGGGAGUGAAAAAGAACAUGAAACCAUCAGCUUACAAGCAAUGGGAGUCCGAGAGAACGGAUGACCGUGUGCCUGUUGAAGAAUGAGCCGGCGACUUACAGGUGGUGGCAGGUUAAAUCGGAAAGAUGAAGCCAAAGGGAAACCGAGUCCGAACAGGGCGGUAGUCACUAUUUGUAGACCCGAACCUUGGUGAUCUAACCAUGUCCAGGAUGAAGCCCCCGUAACAGGGGGUGGAGGUCCGAACCGACCAAUGUUGAAAAAUUGGCGGAGGAGGUGUGGUUAGGGGUGAAAUGCCAAUCGAACCAAGAGCUAGCUGGUUCUCCCCGAAAUGUGUUGAGGCGCAGCGGUGUGGAAUAUUACUGGGGGUAAAGCACUGUUUCGUUGCGGGCUGCGAGAGCGGUACCAAGAUGAGACAAACUCAGAAUACUGGUAAUAGUAGCACUAGUGAGACGGUGGGGGAUAAGCUUCAUCGUCAAGAGGGAAACAGCCCAGACCAUCAGCUAAGGUCCCCAAAUACUAACUAAGUGAGAAAGGAGGUGGGAGUGCUCAGACAACCAGGAGGUUUGCCUAGAAGCAGCAAUCCUUGAAAGAGUGCGUAAUAGCUCACUGGUCAAGCGCUCCGGCGCCGAAAAUGAACGGGGCUAAGUUAGUUACCGAAGCUAUGGAUUUAGAAAUAAAUGGUAGGGGAGCGUUCUAUGGAGGGUGAAGCAGUAGCGGCAAGCCGCUGUGGACGAAAUAGAAGUGAGAAUGUCGGCUUAAGUAGCGAAAAUAUAUGUGAGAAUCAUAUACCCCGAAAGCCCAAGGGUUUCUCCAGAAGGCUCGUCCGUGGAGAGUUAGCCCGGACCUAAGGCAAAGCCGAUAGGCGUAGUCGAUGGCAAGCAGGUCAAUAUUCCUGCGUGAUUUUGUGGGAGCUAGAUUCGGGACUCAUGGACUAGAAGCACACCCCGAGUGGAGGGGGAGCGAGCAAUCGUGAGUGUGGAAGGAAAGUGACAAGAAAAGCGAGUCUAGUGUUGAAAGCAAAGUCCCGGUACCCGAAACCGACACAGGUGGGCACGUAGAGAAUACGAAGGGGAGCGAGAGAACUCUCUCCAAGGAACUCGGCAAAAUGACCCCGUAACUUAGGGAGAAGGGGUGCCACCGAAAGGUGGUCGCAGUGAAGAGUCCCAGGCGACUGUUUAGCAAAAACAUAGGUCUCUGCAAACUCGAAAGAGGAGGUAUAGGGGCUGACGCCUGCCCAGUGCCGGAAGGUUAAAGAAGUUGGUUAGUCGCAAGACGAAGCUGAUGACUGAAGCCCCGGUGAACGGCGGCCGUAACUAUAACGGUCCUAAGGUAGCGAAAUUCCUUGUCGGGUAAGUUCCGACCCG
rnacentral:rRNA from 1 species